rnacentral:rRNA from 1 species
UACAGAGGGUGCGAGCGUUAAUCGGAAUUACUGGGCGUAAAGCGUGCGUAGACGGUUAUGUAAGUCAGGUGUGAAAGCCCCGGGCUCAACCUGGGAAUUGCAUUUGAGACUGCAUAGCUAGGGUGCGGAAGAGGGAAGCGGAAUUUCCGGUGUAGCGGUGAAAUGCGUAGAUAUCGUAAGGAAGACCAGUGGCGAAGGCGGGUCUCUGGACAGUUCCUGACGCUGAGGCACGAAGGUCAGGGGAGCAAACGGG